GGUUCGAGUAUGAAUGAAGUUUUGAUAAUUUUUUUUAUUAAUUUUAUAAUGAAUUUUUUUUGUAAAUAAAAAAUUUUGUUUUUAUUUUUGCAAAGAUAAGUCUUCGUAAAUUCUUUUUAAUUUUUUUUAAAAAAAAAAAAUUAAAGUUUUCUAGGGUAGAAUUUUUUGUAUGUAUAUUUUUUCUAUUAUUAGUUUAGAGAAUUACUUCGGAGUUAACAGAAAUUCAUAUUUUAUCUAGUUCUUAUAGUAAAGUAAGUUUUACAUCGGUGUUGUAUUUAUAUUGUUUGGAAGGUAGAAUGUUCAAUAUUUAAGACUGUUCUUCUUUUUAGUAUAACGUGAUAUUAGUUUAAUUCAUCGUGAGAUAGAAUUGUUUAUCUUGAAAAAUAAUUUUUUUUUUUUAGGUUUUUAGUACGAAAGGAAAAAUAGUUGAAGUUAAAAACUUUAUGAUGUACGG
rnacentral:rRNA from 1 species